GUCUACGGUCAUGCCACCCUGAAUACACGCGAUCCCGUCUGAUCUUGGAAGCUAAGCAGGGGUUGUGCCUGGUUAGUACCUGGAUGGGAGACCACCUAGAAAGACCGGGUGUUGUAGGUG
rnacentral:rRNA from 1 species